rnacentral:rRNA from 1 species
UACGUAGGUGGCAAGCGUUGUCCGGAUUUACUGGGCGUAAAGGGCGUGCAGGCGGUCUGUUAAGUUCAGGGUGAAAGCUCCCGGCUCAACUGGGAGAGGUCCUUGGAUACUGGCGGACUUGAGGGAGGUAGAGGAGAGUGGAAUUCCCGGUGUAGUGGUGAUAUGCGUAGAUAUCGGGAGGAACACCAGUGGCGAAGGCGACUUCCUGGCCUGUUCUUGACGCUGAGGCGCGAAAGCUAGGGGAGCAAACGGG